UUUUUUUUUGUAGAAAUUAUUAAGACCCACAAGGAUAAAACUAAGCAUAGGUUAUUAUAACAUGAAAAUCAAAAGCAUUGCAACAAAUCAAUAUAAAAACAUCUGUAAAGUUAAAAACACCAUGUAUUGGAUUUGGGAGGAUAGAAUUGAUGGCAUCAAUGACUCUAACAAUACUUGGGUGGAUAACCUUAUAUGAAUCAAACUGUAUUUCUCAAUUUUCUUUUUGAAAAUCUAUACCGCAACUCUACUAACGUGAGUAGAGAAGCCAUUAUGAAUUGUCUAAGAGAACUCAAUAUUCCUUGCCUCGCAUAAAAUAAUAACUUUCACCACAAAAGAAGUGAAACAUGCUUUUCAGAUUUGUGCUUUUAAAACUCCGGCUAUCGAUGGUAAACCAAGCCUAUCCUACUAACAAUUUUGGGAUAUUAUGGGUAAUUGACUUUAUUUCUUUCUCUUUGUCUUUUCUUUGUCUAGGUGUCUUACUAACAGAGCUCAAUAAAACUAUCACCACCUUUAAAUCGCAAGGAAAAUCUUGUGCUUACCCAACUAACUUUAGACCUAUCAACCUUUUUAAUGUCACUUAUAAGAUCAGAUUCAAGGUCCUUGUCAAUCACCUCAAAAAAUUUCUCCCCAAUUUCAUCUCGUGCUACCAAAAUGCGUUUGUACCUAGUCGUCUCAUCUCUAAUAAUAUUAUAUUUGCUAAUAUUAUAUUUGCUAAUGAAAUUCUUCACACCAUUAAAGGGAAAAUAAAGGGCAAAGGAUCUUUGGCAGCUUUCGAAAUUGACAUAAGUAAGCCUUUGAUGGAAUCAACUAGGACUUCUUUCAAAUUGUUAUUGAAGUGAUAGGCUUCGAUAAAAAAUGGAUUAAUUUAAUCCAUCAGUGCAUUUCCACAGUUUCCUACCAAGUUUUCGUCAAUGGCUCUCUCACUAAAUGCUUUAACCCAAUCAGAGGACUACAUUAGGGGGAUCCUUUCUCCCCAUACCUCUUCGUCAUAUGCAUGAAUAUCCUUUCUCUUAUGCUUCAAAAAGUUGAAACGGAUGGAUCUAUCUAGGGCAUAAAAAUUUCCAAGAAUACACAUUUUAUUAAUCACCCUCUUUUUGUUGAUGACUGCUUUAUCUUCUACAAUGUCGUUGUCCAGUCUUGUAAAUCACUUAAGACUUUGCUCGAGGAUGUUUGUAUAAACUUUAACAAGUCUGAGCUCUUUCUCAACCCUUCAACUAAUCAUUAAGAAAAGAGAUGGUUCAAUAAAAGAGUGGACCAACUUGGCAAAUAUUUGGGUUUGGAAUUGAGAAAAUUGCACAGGAAAAAAUAUUUAUUCCAUACCAUUAUUGAUAAGAUGAAUAACAAGCUCGCUUUGUGGAAGCCAAAAUGUUUAUCGGCGGGCAAAAGACUUACCCUCAUCAAAACCACCCUAGCCUCUCUCCUCUAGUAUUCUCUUUCUAUAUUCAAGGUUCCAAAAAAUGUAUGUAAAAGCAUAGACAAAACCAUUCAUGCCUUUCAGUGGGUGGUGAAGACAAAACCCCAACCGUGCCUUUGAUCUCAUCAAUAAAACUCUAUCCGUUUAAGGUGGUGAAGACAAAAUUGUAUGGAAAUAUAGUCAUCAUGGCCUUUUUUUCAGUUAAAAAUGUUUACUCUGUCCUACGUCAGACGAAUCCUCGUAGCCCUUUUUCAACCCCUCCACAAAAAGUCUGGUUCAAUCUUUAAUGAUUUAAACUCCCUUACAAAAUAAUUAUUUUUCUAUGGAAGAUAUGCAAUAAUUGUCUCCGUACGAAAGACCUCUUAUUGAGAUGAUUAUCCUCAAACAAUAACUUUUGUCCUAUCUACAUCACUAACAAGGAAACAACUAAACAUCUCUUCCAUCAAUGUAACUUUGCAAGGGUCAUCUAGUUUGGUUCGGUUCUCUCUCUUUCUCUCUCCCGCUCUCUUCUUCUGUCUCCACCUAGAUUCUCUCAACACCUCCUCCAUCUCCAAUUGGAUACUUUAAUGGCUUUUAUCAAAUAAAAUUAAUUCCCACGAAUCAAGGAGAUUUUACACUUUUGUGGCUUAUACCUUCUGGAUAAUUUGAAAAUUAAGAAACAAGCUCAUUUUCCUGAAAAUUGAUCUUAAUCUUGUAGGUUCCCUCAAAAGGAUUAGUGAUUUCUAUAUGUUUGUACUUAGCUUAUUCAACUUUGACACUCUUUUGGCCACCUGAUCAAGGAUCCCAAGAACUCUUGACAUUAACUCCCCAUUGGACUUUAUGCUUAAGCAUAAUCCAUGACAACCAAAAUGACAUGACACGUGGAGCUGCAAUUGCACAGGGACCCAGUGGCUCACAAUUGUUGUCUAUUGACAGCUUCAAAAUUUCCAUCAAACUUCAGACUAGAAUCCUUAUUUUGUGUUCUAUUCUUUUGACUCUCAAGGUUCACAAUGUUAAUUCAUGUCGACUUUUUGGCAAAGACAAAAAAUGGGUCAGCAUUAUCCUUAGAUGCAGCUGUUAGAACCGUAAAAUAAUAUCUUAUAUAAAACUUAACAAACCAUAAAUCAGAUAUGUUAUGUCAAAUUAUCAAGAAUAAAUUAAGAAAAAAACUAGAUACAGAAGCGUACCUAAAUUCAUUAAUUUCUUGAAAUCUAUAGAUCUUACGGUUUUGAUCUUCCAAAUUGACACAUAAGUAAUCUAGAGAAAGUGACUCUCUGUUCUAAAGACGGGAUAUUAGAAAAGUUACCUAUGUGUAAUUUGGAGAUCAUAACCCUAAUAUAUAACUUUUUCCCAUUAACUUUAAUUUCUAAUCAGACCAUUAUCAAUUAGAAAUUAAUUAUUAGAGUAUUUACACAUAUUAGACUCAUACUUUAAUUAAUAACUAAAGUCUAAUAAACCUUAACUAAAUUAAAUCACUUUUAACUUGGGCUAAAUGUUUAUGAUAAUAAAUAAUAAUAUGUAAUUACUCUUAUUAGAUAUGUGAUGUCCAUAUUUUCUAACAACACCAGAAAACUCCAACGAGCACUUGAAGACAUUCACCAAAUCCUCCAUUCUGUCGCUAUCCAACAACAGUCCACAAACAACUGGCAACUCAAAAAAGAAGCUAAACAAUGUGCAACAUGUGCUUCCAAAAUCUUCAUUAGCUUGACCAGGUGGUAAUUUAUUUCUUGCAAUUGUACCCAGAACACACACACCAAAACUAGGUAGAUUGGAAUCCGAUAAAAGCACCUAAACUCCUAUUACAAAUAAACACCUUAGCAGCAGUAACAGCGUACACAAAAUUCACCAAAUUGCUUGCAUUGAAAUCUCCUUGAAGGCUUCAAUAUUCUGAAUCUACUUAUCAUCUGCGAUCAAAAUCCUCAGCCCACAAUUCAAAUAUGAUUAUUGAAUUGUUUGAAGAGGUUGUGUGAUAUGUGGAGCUGUUAUGUUAGCAUAAUAGGAGGGGGUCGCUUUCAAAUUAUUUUUCUAUUGGUAAUUUAGUUUGGGUGCUUAGCUUAAGUUGUUUGUUCUUACUGUAUUGGUGUGCUUGUUUGUCGUAUGUUAUGUUGUGUUUCUCGUGUAAUUUUGGCAUUGUUCACAGAUUUGAGACACUUUGCUUCUCUUAAAAGAACAAGUACUGGUUACGACGUAUCGAAGUCAAGAAGAUUUGCUUAUCUGAAAAGUAAAGAAGCAGAGCAAGACAUGAAGAUCAGCAGUAUUAUUUUACAUUUAAUACAAUGACGUAGGGUGAGUUAUAAUUUGGAAAAAUCAAUAAUUCAAAAUUCGAUCGGAUUUAUCUACAAGAAUGGAAGAACAUAAUAUCGUGUGCUAUUUUAUUGGAAUUGCAUAGCAAAUGAUACAUGUCCACCAAUCACCAUAUGCUCUAUCAGUCAUGAAUUCUACUACAAUGCCAAAAAUAGCAACAAAUACAAAAAAAAAAGAAAAAAAGAAAAAUUGUUCCGGUGUUCUUUUGAUACAGCGUGUGCCUGCCCAGCAAACAAUGUCCACUGAUCUCAAAACUUCUUCAAAGUAGGACAUGAUAUCCCUCCCUAUAUGGCUUCAUUAAAGAUACAAGAAAUAACAAUAAUGGGCAAUGAAAAAAGAAACAAUGAUAAGAAUGAUAAUGAACAAGAUAUCCGGAGGAUCCUACCACAACAUUCACAAGAAUGAUUUAUCCAGCUGCUUUCUGCCCACCAGAAUAGUAACUCAGAUACCACCUCACAAAUUUCUUCAAACCUGUCUGCAAAUCAGUUGAGGGCUUAUACCCAAGCUCCCUUUGUGCCAAGCUGAUAUUGGCAUGUGUGAACUGAACAUCUCCAUUCCGAGGCAACUUCAUUAUAUUCCUCUUUGCAUUCACCUUCAAAAGCCUUUCUAAUAUGCUCACCAGAUCUGAAACUGGAACUGGUGAUGUGUUCCCCAAAUUGAAUACCCUCAAUUGAGCCGGUCCCUUCUUCUUCCCUCCGCUACCAGAACUCUUCUCGGCGGUAUCCAGUGCUGCUAAACACCCUUUCACUAUAUCAUCUAUGUAGGUAAAAUCCCUGGCCACCGUGCCAUGAUUAGCUGCCUCGAAUACUGAUAUUGACUUGCCUUUCAAUAUAUCCCUAGUGAAAAAGAAAUAAGCCAUAUCUGGUCUUCCCCAGGGGCCAUAAACGGUGAAAAACCUCAAACCGGUUAAAGAGAGACCGUAUAUAUGAUUAUAAGUAUGUGCGAUUUCUUCACCAGCUUUCUUAGUAGCAGCAUAUAAACUAGCAGGUUGAUCUGUUCUAUCUCUCUCAGAAAAUGGGACUUUGGUAUUAAGACCGUAAACGGAACUGGAAGAAGCCCACACGAUUGCAGGCUGUGGAUUAGCAGACUUGCAAACUUCAAGUAAAUUAACAAAGCCGGCAAUAUUGCUAUGCACAUAAGAGCCAGGAUUUUCCAUAGCAUACCUGACGCCAGCUUGAGCAGCUAAAUGCAUAACGUGGGUAAAUGCGACAACCUCGAAAAGUUUCCUUAAAAGAGCCGAAUCAUUGAUAUCUCCUUCAACAAUGAAAACCCCACUUCGUUCCAGAAGCGCUUGCCUAGUUCUUUUCAAUGAAGGGUCGUAAUAGUCAUUGAAAUUAUCAAGUCCAAGAACACCAUCUCCACGCCUUUUCAAAGCAGCCGACACAUGGGUGCCGACAAAACCGGCAGCUCCAGUAACCAAAACGGAGAUGCCGUUACGGGAACGGAUACGGGCAGAUGAACGGACCCGCUUCUCCCAAGCGGGUCCACCCCAGUUGUAGGUACGAAGAGAGCGGCGAGAAGGAUCUUGAGGAAGGGGAUUGGAGGAAGGAGAUCGAAAGAAGAAAAUCAAGAUGAGGCCCAAGAACAUAAAAGACCAAAAGGUAAGCUUUGCCAGAGAGGAAUGCCACCUCAACCUAUUGUGAAUGUACGGUGACUUAUCCAUCUUGAAUUUCCCCGGUGUUGAUGGAAUAUUGUCGAGAUGAGACAUUUGCUUUGACAUUGGUGAGGUUAUUUCGGAAGAAACCCAGAAUCUGGAAAACCUUUGUCCUCUGUGUUUUCAGGGUUUAGGGGUGGCUACUCCAGAGAGACUAAAUCUUUUUUUGUCGGUGGGAAAGGGAAGUAGUUGUUUAUAUUAUCCGUGUUAAUGGAGUUGCAGUGACUUUGGCUACCUCUUUCUCAUUUUGAUGAUGAAAAUGAGAAUCUUGAAACGAUGGGUUGGUUUCUCCGUUGGUUUAGAUACAGAGGGGAGCUCUUUCAAUGGGGGGGGGGGGGAGAGAGAUCAAGAUUUGAUUUUUGUUUUAAAAAGAAGGGAAAAAAAAAGAAGAAAACAACUUUAGGAUGAUUAUUUAUCAACAUAAGUCUGUAUUUAAUGAAAUGGGUUGAUUCCGUUAAAUAUAGGGAGGUUAAGAAUAUUGCUCUUCUUCUUGAGAUAAGCAAUAAAUAACUACAUAGUGAAAAAAAAUACCAGCUUUGCUAAAUUUAUGUGUGAGGUAAGAAAUUAAUUUAAGUUUGGGAUUUUGUUGUAUAUGGUGUGGAUGAGGAUUUCGAUGCUAAUUUCCCACCAUUCACACUUAAAAAAACCCACACACACAUUUAAGUUAUAAGUUUGGGAUUCUAUUUUAGAUGGUGUGGUCGAGGAUUUUGAUGCUAAAUUACUACAUUAAAAAAAUCUCCCCCAAAACUUGAGAGAUCUGCGAGGGAUUUUGGGAUUGGGUUUAUCUCUACAAUUAUCAACACCUAAUUAUUGAAUUAGUAAAUUAAAAAAAAAAAAGUCAGCUUUCUUUUUGCCAGUUAAAAAUUCAGGUCUCUGGCAUCUGCACAAAUUCAAUUAAAAUUGGGACCACCAAAUUAUUAAUUUAAAUAUUUAAUCACCCAUCGUUUGCUUUUGUAAGUAUGAUUAUGCUGGAAAUCCUCAAAGCGAGUAAAAAGUAUCAUAGUUUUAAACACAUUGCUUUAUAAAAAUCAGUUUAUACUUCGCUGGAUGGUAAAUCUUAACACGUAAGUUAUGCAUGAGAAAUCAAUUAUUUUUUACAGUUUGUAAAAAAAAAUGACCGCAGAAAAAAAUAAAAGGAAAGAAAUCUAACAAGAUGAUGACAUAGGGUCUACAAUCAUAUGAGAGAGAAAGGAGGAGUCAGAAAUAGUGAGCGCAGCUCAUAGACUUGAAACCAAGGCAAAAGGAACUUUCCAUGGAAUCUUCUUAUACAUAUCUUGGAUUGCAAUUUAUGUUCCACAUUAUCAAUGCAUUACUCAAAACCAAAAUUCUCAUCCCUCUUUCUAUUUUUCUGAUUUGUUAAUCUUAAUUUCACUAAAUCAUACUAAUUUUAAUAUUUGAUACCACAAACAUAUUAAAAAUUUAUGAUUUUACCCCCAAAAAAAACAAGAUUGAAGUGGAGUGAGAGAAUGUGAAAUGAUAAAAAUAAAAUGUUACAUACAUUGAUCUUGAUUUAAUGGUAAUGGUGUGAGCUGUAGUGGAUGUGGAAUCAUGAUUAUUUAUGGACAAAUAAUAUAAUUGUGAGAGAAAAGAAAAUUGGGUGGCAGCAGUUCCCAUGUGAGGGUGUGUGGAGGAAAAACAACCUUGGUAUUAAUAGCUGGCAAAGCGGCAACUUGUUCCUUCCAUGCUAGUUACUGUAAGCUGGACUCUGGCUGUUUCAACAUGUUUUUUUUCCAUAUUACAGAUUUACCUUCUUCUCUUCUUUUUAUAUUAAUUUUAAGUUUUGGAUUUAUUUUAAAAAUUCUACUUUCUUUUAUUACUUUUACAUUUUCAAAAUCAUAUUAUUAAAUACUUUUAAAACAACAAAAUACAAAUAAUUAAUUUUUUUUUUAUAUUUUCUUUACAUAUUACAUUAAAAAUUUAAAACUCAAUUAUUUUUUAAAAACCAUUAAAAUAUCAAGGUUCAAGUCGGUGUUCAGUUUUUAAUUUAUUAUUUUCGAUUUUAUUUUUCGUUUGUGAAAUAUGCCCUCCUACAUUGCCAGUUUCUGCUUACCGUUUAUACAAUCCAAACUACGGCAGCCACUCCAAAACUCUUUCCUCUUCUCACUUUAAUCUUAUUAACAACAUAUGAGUAGGUUGGAUUAAAAAUAAGUUGAGAUAUCGGUUUUAAAAAAAUAUUAAAUUAAUUGAUUCGAGAAUCAGUACGGAUCGAUUGACCAGGAAAAAAAACUAGUUAAACCGGAUGGACAAAUUAGAUUGGCAAAUCAAUGGCUUGAUACUGAUCCAAUUCUGCAAACAUUAGUAAUCAUAUUAUUGACUACUUUCUUAAACUAAUAUAUUGCAUAUGAUGAUUUAAUUUUAGUUGUUUUAUCGUACUAAUUAUUUUUAUAAUAAUUCAUAUUUUUUUAAAUAUAAACUAUGUAACUUUAUAAUUAUAAUUUAUACUACCAAAUACGACAUAAAAAAAUUAUAAUUUAAUUAAAUUAUGUCAGUCAAAUAUAUUUUUAUAAUUUCAAAAGAGUGUAAUGUAGCAACAAACCCUAAAUAACACUAAUGAACAACAGAAUCUGAUUCAGAAUUGUGAACAAAAUGAAUGUAUUAAAAUUAAGAGAAUAAAUUAGAAAAGCAAAUAACUGAAACAACAAAUAAAAUAAAAGAAUAAUGGAAGAUAAAUACAUGAAAUAAACAUAUAUAAAUGGGAGCAGGCAAAGUUUGAAUUGAAUUAUACAGUACCUCAUAAUUCUGCAAGAGUUUCAAUUUUAUACAAGACUACAUUACGUUUAAAAAUACCUUACAAUACAAUACUUUUUAUUUAUUCCUUUAGAUCAUGCUAGAUACAAAUAUAUGCAACUCACCACCUACACCCAUGGCACAUGAUGAACAUGCAAAUCACCAUGUUUUAGCUUAGGAAUCAGUUUAGAAAUGUUUUUCAAAAGUGUUUUUGAGACAAACGUAUUCUUAAACAAACUAUUUUUUGAGAGAAAGAAGAAUUUCUCCCAAGCCAAAAAUUGGUCCAAAAACACUUAUUUUUAGAAGCUAAAAAUACUUUUGAGAAACAUUUCUAAACUAGACUUAAACUUACCAACGAUUUGAAAUGAAGAAUAGACCCAGGACAACAAGAAAAUAAGAAGAAAAAAAAAACUAAAGCCAUUCACCCUAAUAUAGUAAACCACAAUAAAUGGAGGGUGUCAAUUGAUAUUUUAAAAAUAUUUAUAAAUUUUUCUAAAUAAAAAAGGAAAAAGAAGAAAAGUUUAUACAAGUGAUUUAUAGUGGUUCAGUUCCAACUGACUAACUCAACUAUAUUAGCUUUUCUCUACAAAGGAUUUCCAAAUUUAGUGUUAGAAUUAAUACCUUUCAAGGAGAGGGUAUAACUCUUACAACUCUAUCUUUUUAACAAGUUUUAGAUAAAAUAUUUCCCCUAGUUUUUAUCACUUAUGGCUCAUUUAAAACCCUCCUAAUUUGCAAUUGGUGAAAAAUGAUGAAUGAACAAUAACUUCUCAGAAGGUGGAUGAUAACAAUUUUGAUGUAAAAACCCGAUUUUCAGUAGUAUCAAAACCACUAGUUUUGGAACUUCAUUUUUCAAUGAUUGAGUCAAUAAAUAUUAUUUAUUAAUAUUUACAAGGUUAUAUAGUAUUAUACUAAAUUUUGUCUAAUAAUUUUAGCUAUUUGGAAAGUUAGUCAAGGUACAAGUGUAUCGGUUCAAAAGUUAGUGGGUUAUGAAAAUUGAGGUAUUGGGGCCUCAUUUCUGUAAAUCGAGCCCAUAAAUAUUUUUAUUAAGUAUAUACAGAGCUAUUAUAUAGGUGAAUUGAAUCUUGGUCUAGAAAUUUUAGUAAUUGGAUGGUUAAUUGAUAUACAAGGACUAAAUUGUAAAAAUAUAAAAGUUAAUCAUAUUUUAGCUUUAAUAGUUCUAAGGGUUUAAAAGGUAAAUAUCUAAGGUUUAAAGUAUAAAAUAACCACUUUUGCAUAGUAGUGGACGACAGGUAUAUUUUAAUUAGUAAAAAAAAUGUUAAAUUUAAAGGAUAUGUUAUAAUUAAAACAUAAAACAUAAAAUAAUAAGCCAUUAUGAUCUUCAUUUUUUCAUCCAUCACCAUUUUCACCAUUUUUUAAGGAAGGAAGAAAGCUUCAAACAUUCAAAACCUUUCCACCCUUGCAUGUAAGUUCAAACUCGUUUUUCAUAAAUUUUAUAUUUUUGAGAUCUUUAUAGUUUAAUCUAACUAAGUCGAGUAUUAAAUUGUAAAACUAUCAAAGAUUUUAAAAGUUAUCAUUGUUGAUUUUGAAGCUUUUUGGAUAAUUAAUGGUUGAUUUUGAAGCUUUGUUAUGAAAUAGGACUAUUUUGUAAAGAGAAAUUUGUUAAUUUUGAGUAUUGGGAUUAAAAUGUGAAUAUGUUAAUAUUGAUAUGAAAUUUAUAUAAUUAUUGUAUUUAGAGGGUUGUACAUGGAUGAAAUUGAAACCGAAUUGAAAAAUGAACAUUAGAAUUUAAAGAUAUAACCAUUUCGAUUUUUGGGACUAAAUUGAAUAAAAUGUGAAACUUUAGAGAAAUUGCAUAAAAUAAAAUUAAGUUUUUAUAUGCAUAUACUAAGAUGUUAAAAAGGCUGUUGGAAUUGAUAAUUUGUGAUGAAGUAUUAUAAAUUUGGAAUUAAAUCAAUCUGAAGUUAAUUGAAAAAUAAAAGAAAUUACAUAUUAGUCCCUACACUUUGUGGUUGUCGUUUUCUAGGUAAGUUCAUAUGGAACUUAAAUAUUUUCUUAUUAUGCUUGAAUUAUGGUUUUAUUUAUUAAUUGUAUAUAUACAAAUAUAAUUUUAAUGACUUAUGGCAUAAAAAGGACUACAUCGAUAAAUGUGAGAUUUGUAGUAGAUACUAAUAGAUAUGCAUUAAUGAACGAAUGAAUAAAUGGUUGCAAAAUUUGUUAUACGAGUGGAUGAUAUAUAUAUAAGUGAUGUUAUGUUUUUUUAAAAGUAUACAAAUACAUUGUUUUGAUAUUAUGGUGUCCAUUGUAAAAAGAUUGUAACACCCUCCAUCGGACCCGAUUCGUCGAUCCAGAUCUCGGGUGUUAGAUCACAAUAUUUAACAAAUUAUCAAAAAGUUGAUAAUUACUCUAUUCUUUAAACACUAUAUUUAUUAUAUUAACUCGAAACUUAAUGUCUAAAACAAGGAAAAUAUUUUAAAUUACAUUAGACUUAUUAUAAAUUCGUUAUAUAUAAAAAAAAAAGUUUAAUGAAAAUAGACACAUAAGGCAUAACUCUAACUACGUCAUUUUUCCACUAUAUGCAUAAUAACCUACUUUUUCAUUCUACUAGUGUACUCCUAGCGCAACAAUUCUCGAACACUUGGAAACAAUAAGAAACCUUAUAAUUACAAGAGUACUUAGUGAGCUUCAUCACAUCAUAACUUAGCAAAUACUUUAUAUUCCUGAAAAAGCUUUUAUGCGUCAACCAUCAUUCUAAACCACUUAUAUCGGGCGGGAACCACUACAGUUUUAAUAUAAACAUAUACACCAAAUAUCAAACCCUUAACAUACUAAUUCUUCCUUAUCUGACUAACUGAAGAUUUCUUCAGACAUUUCUUAAUUCUUUUUGUUACAUAUGUAUUUCUCAGCAGAACAUACAUUCAGAAAUCAUUUCUUAUAGACCAUAUUUUAUUCCUUACACUUAUCUCAAAACAAUUGUUCACUAACAUUAAUCACGAGUGGAUACACACUCUUUUGGCGAAUACUUAUGAAGAUAUGAGUACCAACAAACUAUUAAUCAAAUCACACCCUGAAUCAAUACCACACAACCCAUAUUGAUAAUAUACUACGUAGAUCAAUCAGAUGACUUCCAUGCCAUUUUACUCUAGAACCCCAAACUCUCAAACCCUAUUUUAGGUAAUUAAACAUUAGCAUUUUGAGGGAAAGGAAAGAUAUUUAACUCCUUAGUUUUUGCUUAUCUAAAAAAUAAUGAAAAAAAAAGCUAACUAAAUAAGGGAAAAAAUAUUCUUUUCUCUUGAUUUCAUUUUAAUAAGGAAUGAUGUGGAUGAAUGCAGAAGCAGAUUGUAAAGUUUAUCAAAGUCGGGGAUUUAUCCUAGAUUUCUAGACGAACAUAAACUGAAACGAGAAACAAAGAAAACAAAUUAGUUGUCACAAAGGAGAGUCAAACGAAAUUGAAAAAAGAAAGAAAGAUGAACUGGCUGGUAAAGAGUCCAAAAGAGAAAGAAUUAGGGUUUCUUGAAUGGAAAGAAAUCGUCCUUAGACCUUAAGAAAAUGCUCCAACCAAAUUUGGAAAAACAAAAUACAAACAAAUUUGUUGGAAGUGAUUUUAAAGACAAAAGCAAAUUAUUUUGUGAAAGAAUGUUUGAAACAACAAGAAAAGAUUAAAACUCCUAAUUUUGAUGUGUUUUUUAAUGGAACAAGAUAGGAGAACGUCUUUCUUGAAGCAACAUUAACCUAGAACAAAAAUCAAUAAAAUCAGCAAGCUAAAACAAUAAGAACUAACUUAAAUAAGCAAGAAACGAUAAAUUAAGGAUAGAAAAGAGAAGAUGGCGUACUAAGAAGCCUGGAAAACAUUAAGAAUCUACAACUCCUUUCAAUGGCUUUAAUUCUCCCUCCAAGAAAGAGAUCUGGGCAAGAAAAAGCUUAAAUAUGAUUCCCACAACUUGAAAGAUUGUUAAAACAACUUCUAAAAGAAACUCAAGAGCAAUUAUUGAAGAAAAACUCAAAGAGAAUUAUUAUUAACUCAAAAAAAGAUAAAUCAAUUGUAUUUGCAUAAGGGUGAACACCUAUGCUCCCCAAAAUAAGUUUUCCUAACCCUAAUGAAAUAACUAACAUGACAACUCAUCAAAUAAUUAAAAACAAAAAAACAAUAAUUCUAAGUGUGGACUUUUAAUGGGAAUUCAGCCAAAUGAAUUAAAUGGGCUCCUUAGACUGAAUUCUUACAUGAUGAUCCACCUAUUAAAAUAAAAUUAGACUUAAAUAUUUUACAAUUUGGGCCACUUUGAUAGUUUGGCCUGAUAUUCGAUUAAAUUACUUUUCAGACUUCAAGAUGGGCUUGUAGACAUCUUAAUGAGCCAUUUUUUCAAGAACUUGAUCUUGUGGAGGUUUGCUCUCGAAAUUGGUUCAUUAAAGCUCGUAAAUGAAACUUGAUGUGCCUUGGCUACAAGAUUCAGUUUCUUGGACCAAGAUUUGAAAUCUUGAUUUUUUUUAUUCUUGAAAUUGUCCGAAACAACAAAAUUGGGCCAAGAGUCAAUUUCUUGAUUUUCUUUUUCGGUCGUGUGUGCAAUAGGGCCUUGGUAACGAAGUCUUGGAUGAUCCUGUUCAAUCUUGCUUGAAUUUGCUUGAGCUUCGACCUUGUUAUUGGGCCUUGAGGAAAUUUGAGCCCAUCACGUUCAUUAGCCUUAUUUUGGGCCUUGAGACUCGCAUCACAUUUACUUUCUUUUAUAUUAUCUCAAUCCAAACAUAGGGUUAAUGCUAUCAAAUUAUAUAUAACCCAUAUAAUAUUUUAAUAAAAAGUUAAUGAUAUCAACUAAAAAUAUAAGGAUCAAAUCAUGUUAAAAUUUGAAAUAUAAAAAUUAGAUCUUGAAUUUAAACAUAAUAAAGUGACUAAAACUAAAAUUAAACCACUUUUUUAUAAUACAAAAAGAGGAGAGAGAAUCCAUUGAGGGUCACAUGUAAAUAAAUUGUAAAUUUAAGCAUACAAAACUCAAAAUUGAAAUUUAACCAUGAUUUAAUCACUUUUCUGUAAUGUCAACAAAAAGAAGGUAAGUUUAUAAAUUGUAUAGAUGUAAAUCUAAAAUUAAAAAACAAUGAAUUUGAAAAAAGAAAUGCCUUGGUGCCACUAAAAAAUAAGAAAAAAUAUUUAUCUGGAUAGGUGUUCUUUGGGGAUUUAUUUUUUAAGGUAUAGGUAUAGAAGAGAUUUUCUGUUUCCAUGUAAGUGGAAGAACAGUAUCUAAUGUGGCACUGGCAAGCCUUUCUCUUUUCCAUUUUGGAGAUGAAGAAAAUAAAUGUGAAAUAUCAUUAUCAGGUGCUAAGCAUUUCUCAAAAAGAAUCAAUCCUCUAUAGAACCGUAUUGCUUAAUAUUACAGUCUUCAGGACAGGGAUCAGAUACUAAGUCAUCAAAACUAGAAAGAAAAUAACCAACUCCAGAUUCUCCAAGAAUACAAAGUAGAUCUCAAGAACAAGGUUCAACUGCUUUCGGUCUAUGAUUUUAGACACUGGCAACAUAUCCUCCACUAUAAAAGGUGUUUAAUGCUUUGUAACCCUCUCCAGAACUUCAAAAUAGUCGGGGAAGGUUUUCCGUGUGCAACCAGGAUCCUUGAUGGUAACUGGAACUUUGCCACAGGCAGCAAGCGAGAAAGCCAUGGCCAUUCGAUGGUCAUCGUAAGUAUCAAUUGCUGUCACAUUUAGUUUCUCCGGGGGAGUGAUCACACAAUAAUCCAGUCCUCCUUCAACUGUUGCUCCAAGCUACAGUAUUAAACCACACAAUGUAGUAAGGAAAUACAGCUGCCAAACUAACACAGUCUAAAAGAAUUUUGUAAGCGAAAAGCUAGAAUCUACCUUCCUCAGUUCUGUGUAUAUGGCAAUCAUCCUUUCAGUCUCUUUAACCCUCCAACUUGCCACUGAAUAGAAAUCAUGGAACAUGUUACAAAUAAAAGAAUGGCAUAAAGGCAAGCAUAUUUCAAAAGCAAAAUAAAUUAGAACAACACAUUGCUCAUGCUCGGAACUAACAAAAAUGAGAAGGUACAGAUCUCUUUUAAUCCUAAGGCUUUUUGAGGGUUAAGUUUCAAAUUAACAAAGAUUGUCAUUCAUGUGUACUAAAACAUGUGCACAGUAUAUUGGAGAAAUAAAAAGCAAGACCAUACCAUCUCUUAUGGCAGUAGGACCAUCAGCAUAAAGGGCAACAACAGCAAGAGUCAUGGCAACAUCUGGCAUUUUGUUCAUGUUAACAUCAAUGGCACACAGGUGUUUCCUUCCAGAGGGAUUUCUUGGUGGUCCGGUAACAGUGACGCUGUUCUCAGUCCAGGUGACUUUGGCACCCAUCUUCUCCAGAACCUCAGCAAAUUUUACAUCACCCUUGAUCAAAGGAAAAACCAAGAAAUAUACAUGAGCUAAGUUUCAGAUGUAGCAAGACAUCAAGGCAGAAUGAUAUCUCUGGUGGAAAAAUCAAUUGGAUAUCCAAUUAAAAAGGAUAUGAGAGCAACCUCAAUAACAGUCAAAGCAAUUCAAAAGCACUUUUGAAAGGUAUAAAGCGAUGAUGUAUGUUAUCAAAAGCAAAUGCAUCCACAAAUACUCGAACUAUGAUUAAAUUUGGUUGGGAAUGCAUUAAUAUUCAUGGACUUCACGAUAAAGAGUACCUGUAAACUACUUGUACCACAUCCUUCUACUGUGACAGUGCCGCCAGUGACUGCUGCACCAGCAAGGAAGUAACUAGCACUUGAAGCAUCACCUUCAACAUAAGCAUUUCCAGGAGACCUGAAAGAUUUACCAGUUUAUGAUUUUUAGUCCAAACAGACUAUGAAAUUGUACUGCUACAAACAUGUGGACAUCAUAGAAACCUACUUGUACUUUUGACCUCCUUUUAUCAAAAAUCGAUCCCAGCUAUCUGUGUGCUCCACAGUGACUCCAAACCUUUCCAUCAACUUUAUAGUCAUUUCAACAUAAGGGAUUGAAAUUAACUUAUCAAUUAUCUCAAUUUCCACAUCCCCAAGAGCUAAAGGAGCUGCCAUGAGUAAAGCAGUCAAGUAUUGACUACUGAUGGAUCCUGAGAGUUUCACCUGCAAAAGGAGCCAUGCUAGAAGUUAUUAUGAAUAUUGGCAACAAAAUCCAGAAGUUAAAUCACUAGUCUUUUUCCUUUUCAUUUUAGUGAAAAUAGCCUUUGUCCUUCACAGAGCCUAGAAUUUUGAAGAAGCAAGAGAACACAGCUUAGAUAUCACAAAAAGUCAAAAUUUUCAGACUUCUAAGAAAUAAUGAAUGUGAUGCAUUUGCUGGAAUGAAUGGUUAGAAAGAAAGGAAAAUGUCCUUCCCUCUCCUGCUGCAUUCUCAAUGAUUUAAAACCUUGUAUGAAUCAAGGCGGAAGGACGAUAUGAGCCAAAUUAAUGGUUAAUGCUAACAGAAUGCUAACAGUUUAACACGUUCAUCAUUCCAUGUAUACUCAAAAAACAACAUUAGAAUAAGACCUCACAAGCAACUCCUAGACAUAGCAAAAUUCAAAAGAAAAAAAAAUCCCAACCAAAAUAUUCUCCAACUGCAAUGUCCUUAUUUAACAAGAGAGCAUUACAACCUAAUUGACUUAUGCACAUCAACAAAAGGUGGUGCAUUGUUUUACAAGCAUGGAGAUUGACAAUUUAACUGAAAAUAGUAUUGAUUGCACAAUGAAAUGGAAUGGAAAGUCAUUUCUAGUGGAAUCUUAUGUGGCUCCCCAAAUCUACCUCAGGAAAGCAAAUUCUGAAGGGAGCCCUUUUGCAAAAAGGUUUAUGCAACAAUAUAAAUAAAAUCACAGGAACAUAACAGAAAUAAUCUGAGCCAUACCUUUCCCCCAGGAAGACCACCCUUUCCAUUUAUAUGAACAGGGGGACAAUUAGUGCCAAGAGUGCACUCAACAUCUGCACCCAGCUGCUUAAGACCAGUAAUUAAGUCCCCAAUAGGUCUCUCUCUCAUUCGGGGUACACCAUCAAGUAUGUAGCUAAAAAGAUGAGUAACAUAUACGCAUUAGCUUAAAAUCUCAAUGGACAUGCACAAAACAAAGAGCAUCAGCAUAUAAGAAGAUGGUUCUGUGAAUUAUAUGUAAAACUCCAUAUAAAAUGGUUAAAUCGGUUACAAUUCACUUGUAAAAAGGAUCAUAAUUAGACAGACCUUGAAUUGCCACCGGCAGCAGUAACAGCAGGAGUAAGCGGUCGCAUUGCAGUUCCAGCAUUCCCAAGGAAAAGCUCAAUUUCUUGACCUUCCCCAUUCCCCACUGGAAAAUGACCACCACAACCUUGCACAAUGGCUCGUUUCUUUUCACUGUCAUGUUCAACAUGUAGCCCAAGUUUUCCCAAAGCAACAAGCAUAUGAUGAACAUCGUCACUAUUCAACAGAUUGUCUACCACAGUAGUUCCCUACAUAUCCAACAAACAUUAAAAAGGGAAGGUAAUUAAGGAGUGCAAAUACUAACUUCACAUAGAGCAAUAAAUCGGCAUACCUCAGAUAGAGCAGCGAGAAGCAGAAUCCGAUUGGAGAGUGAUUUGGAACCGGGCAACUUGACCGUACCCGAAAUUUCAUUAAUUGGUUGAAGCACGAUUUCUGAUGCUCUUGAUGGCUUCUCUGCUGUUGCCAUUGAAGCAGAAACCUUAAAAGACCCAACCUUAACUGUCCCUAACUUGCCAUUGCUCUUCAAAACCAAUCCGCAAGAACAAGAAAAACUUCCUUUGAGAUUUGAUCUAAAUGGAACUGAAUAUACAGAUUUGGGAUUCUGGGGUUUUGAGACAUUGGCCAAAACGCAUGCUCUUGGUGUUCUAUCGUAGAUUUUCCUAAUCAGUGCCAUCUCUCUUUCUAAGUAGUCCGAAACAAAGUUACAAAGAUUACAGAAACUUUUGUACCUUUGUUUUUCUAAAUGGUGGGAUUAGAAGACAAAAUAAAUUGAUGUCGUUGUGGUUGUUGAAUUGACACGGUGAAAGGUGUCACCCAACCAACUCCAAGGCUACCAAAAAUAUUGGUGACCAAUUUCUAAACAGAUGUUUAAUCAAAAUAAUAACUAUUAAUUAUAUUUUUGAAAGGGUAAAUUAUAAAAAUAAUCAUCUAAUUAUUAGUAUAUUUCUGUUUUGGUCACAUAUGUUUAAAGUUUUAUUGACAUAUUUACAAAUUUAGCCUUCUAAAGUUUACAAAUUCUAUUAAUUUUUUUUAACUCUAAAAAAUUCAACAAAUUUAACAACCAACUUUACAAAUUCUUUCGAUUUAGUCUUGAUUCUUAAAAAAAAUUGAAAUUGAAAAACUAUAAAAAUAAAAAAUAUUUAAAAGUUCAUUUUUCGAUAAAAAUUAUUUAAGAUUCUAUAAAAUACAUACAAAAUUAUAAAUGAAUGAAUACCUAUUUUUCUUUUUCUAACAUGAAAUUUAUCUAUUAAAAUAUUAUUUUAUAAAUAAAUUACUUUUUUUAAUCACAAAAAAACUUAAACCAUAUUCAAAAUUUCCUUUCCUUUUAGUUUUAUUUAAUAAACAAUAAUUUAUUUAUUAUAUGUCUAGUCUUAUUCUUUAGUCCUCGCCAAAUUUGUUGAGCAUUGGGCAUCUUCUUCGCUCACAACCACUAGCAUUAAUAACACUUAUUUUAAAUUCCUCAAUUUUCACAUCCUUCGUCUUUGUGCCAUCCAACUAGGAAUCAGUUGUGAAGCUAUUGGCAUGAUCUUCCACCCACUAGGUCUCCAAGACUUCAUUCUUACUUAUAUAUCCCUAAUUGUACCCGGCCCUGGGCUGUAGUAUUUGACCCAAUCUGAACAUGGUGAUUGUUAAUAUUGAAAAAAGAAAAAAAAGGUGAAUCCACUUAAGUAUUCUUUGUAAUAGCAUGGUUUCAAUGGAAUCAGAAAUAGUGAGUCAAUUUUUAGUAUUUAAUUUAAUAAAAAUGGUCACAUGAUUUGGUUAAGAAAUGUUAACGUUUAGAUAAUUAACUAAGUAAAAAGGACUAAAUUAUAAAAGUUGUAAAAAUUAGUUGUGUUAAAAACCCAUGGAAAUGAAAACUAAUGAACUUAAAUGAAAAUUAGCCACAUUUGCUUAUGGGUGGACGGUUAUGACUAGAUUAUUAAGUAAUUUUUUAGUUAAUUAAAAGGUAAAAGGGUAAGUGAGUAAUUAAAUCAUAAAGGAAAAGAUGGACAAAAUAAUCGUCUUCUUCUCCAAUUUCUUCCAUCACCGAAAAACACUACGGUUAUGCAUGCUUGAGGUUUGGCCAAGGUUUAUAGGUGUGCAUAUAAGUGAGAUUUUAUUUCAUUUUAUGUUUUUAGGUUCGUGUUUGCGUAAUUUAGCUAGCCCAAUGAUUAGUUUGUGAAAUUUUUGAAAGUUGUAGAACAUGCCAUGAUUGAAAUUUGAAUGAUUUGAUGUUAGUCGAUAAAUUUAUGAUCUUGAUGGUGGUUUUAGACUAUUUUGUAAAACAGCUUUGAAUGGUUUCAUAAUUAAAGGCUAAAUUGUUUUAAUGUGGAAAUUUUCAUGGGCUAGAGAUAAAUAUUAUGUUAUUUAGGGUCUAUUUUGAUUAAGGUAGAAAGUUUAGAGAUUUACGGUUAAAUCAAAUAAAAUAUGAAAGUUUAGGUUAAAUGUGUAUAAUAGUAUAAAAGAGCUAAUUACAUGAAUUUAAUUAUUGUUUUAAAUGCUUGAAUUAGUUAAUUGAAUUAACUAUUAUAAUUAGAUCAAGAAGCAAGUCCAUUGACCGCUAAUCGAGGAAAAGAGAAGAUUGUCAAAUAGGUGUUAUCGUAUAUUUGUAGUUAUCAGAUCUCGGUAAGUUUUUAUUAUAUCAUAAGUUUUGUUAAAUUCCUAAAUAAUUAUUUUGCUUUAACAUUGUUAAUGUUAGUAAUUGUUGAAUGUUAAUGGUUGAGAAUUAAUAAUGAAAUGGAGUUGUAUUGGAAAUAGCGUAUUGGAUUUUGAGUCUAGCAGGCUUUGUGCCGAUGUAUGGAAUCGGGCCUUGAGCUUAGUAGGCUUUGUGCCGGUGUUGUAAUGCCCCAAAAUUUUAAGAAUUUAAUUGUGAGACUCUGCAGUAAUUAGAUUUUUGUAUCUCUGGUUUUGUGCUCUGUUUUUUUUGUUUAAAGUCUCGGGUUCGAGUUGCAUCGUUAAAAGUUUUAUUCUUUUAGAACAAUCUCUGUCCAUACGGUAUAUGGGUAAAGGUAGUUCUGUAAGAACCUAUGACAAGAAUGAGCCUACUAGUUUUCUCAUUAAGCAUCUAUUUGUAUUCUGUCUGGUCUCGAGUUUGAAUCUCACUGUAUGUGUUAAGAGAAUUUUUGCUAGUUGUUGGAGGUAUGCUAGUGGUUAAGACAAAAUUUAUUAAAAUUUGGUUAACGUCUAUAUCUUUUCUUCUUCUUUCUUAUUUUUUUCCCUUUUUUUAUUUAUUUUACUUCUUUGAUUUCUUCUCGUCGAGUGUGCUUAACACGUGAUUAUCAGAAAUUAGUGAGAUCUCUACGUUACUGAAAGACUUCUAUAUAAGUUCUGUCAGAAUCUUUCGACUUCUGCGAGGUUUGGUUAGAUUUCUAUUAUGAUGUUAAGUUGGGAAUUAUCGAAUUGCUUUACUUAAAAUCUCUGUUAACUAGUCGUUUUGUUCCCUUAGGCGUGAGUACAGAGGGAGGUGACCCUUCGCGUGUUAUGCCGACUUAGCACGGUAUAAUCGUAGGUAAGUGUUAAUCGUUGAAGUUCCCUCGUGUCGAUUUAUUCGAUAUAAUUGACUUUGUAUUAAUGUUGUGUUAAUUAGUCAUUUAGACAAAUGAUUGAUUGCUGAAUGGAUAAUUAGGUUUCGGGUAAUCUUCGUAAUGUUUCUGUCAAAGUGAAACCAGGUGCGUAUCGAAAACCUUAGUUUUUGCAAGUUUCGAUCGCCGAAAAAUGGUGGCUAUCAACGUCACACUGCCAUGUGCACGAGCAUGUCACACGGUCGUGUAGUAGGCCAUGUGGUAAGCCGUGUAACUUACUGUUCAUCGAUUUGGGGGCACACGAGUAAAGGAUAUGGGCGUGUGUCUAAGCCAUGUGUGGCCAUACUAGUGCAGGGUUCACACAGGAAACAGACACUGGCAUGUGUCAAGGCUUUGUAACUCACUGUUUAUAUUUUAGAACCAUACAGGUAAGGCACAUAGGCGUGUGGUCAGGCUGUGUGGCAUGUUAUUGGGGCCCGAAACCUAUUUUCGAGGCCGAAAGUGUUUCUUAACACUGAUACUGGUAUCAUUCAAUGUAUGAAUUAUUGAAUUUGAUCCUGUGAGAACUGUCUAAUACUAUGAGAUUGAUCUAUGAGCAACUUAACUAUACGAAAACUAUAAUGCUUAUUCUGAUGUUCAUUUGAUUGGAAAAUGAGUUAGAAUGAUUGAAUACAUGAUACAGGUAUUUGUGUUUUGCAUUGGCAUGGGUGGGGAUAUUGUGAAGGAGGAAGAAAUCUAUUCUGAAAUCGUAGCUAUGCCACAAUGAGUAUAAAUCUGAUUCUGGUGCUUAUCGCAUACUGAACUAGUAGCUAAGCUGCAUUUCUGUAAAAGUGUCAACAAACACUUUAAGGUGUGUAGGAUUGGUUAGGCAUUGAAUGUCCUUAAUGGUGUGUUGGGAUGGCCGAAGACGGUGUGUAGAGAAUGGGGAUAGGAAUAUUGUAUCUGAAUCUGAUCUGUAUCGUGUAUGAAUUGAAAUUGUAUAUAUAUGUAACUGUUCUACUCUGAAUCUGAAUUGAAAUUUCUUUUGUAUCGAACUGAAUCUCUGAAUUUAGAACUACUUUAUAAAUGAGCAUUAAUUGAAUAAAUUUCUCUUACACACUCAGUUUACAACUCAUUCUGUUAUUGUUUGGAUUUUAGGUAGUUCGCAGACUUGAACAAGUCGGUGCCGUGGGAGCUCAGUCGAACUAUUAGCUUUCUUAAAAUGUUUCAAUAGGAGUUUCGUAACUAUAAUAGUAUGACUUUAGAAGAUUAUAUUACUCAACUAAUCUUGUGUUAAAUUUUAUAUGAAUCAUGGUUUUUUAUUAUUAUUAUGCCUUGCUUAGUUUUUGAGUAUUCAUAAUGUAACGUUCUAAGCUUGGGCUGGACUUCUAGGCUGGGUCUAGGGUGUUACAUUUAGUUGUAUCAGAGCCAAGUUAUUCAACACUCGACCUAUGUUUGGGCUCAUAAUGUGUGACAAAAGUAGCUUAGUGAUAAUUAGUAUCUAAACUAAUAUAAAAACACUGAUACUUUAAUGAACGACCGAGCCUCUGACCUUGACCUUGUAAGUAUUUCUAUUCUGUUAUAAAGAUUGUAAUACCUAAACUGCUGUUAGCAAAAUAUUUUGAUGUGAACUGGUGGAAUCAUCCUGUUGGGUGUUUGAACUAAUCUGUGUACUCUGACAUUGUAGUUAGAUUGCCAAAAUGAGUUCGUGCGAUAAUCAUGGAUGUGGUAUGCGGGGGUGUCGAAGACGCCGAGAAGGAGCCCGAAUAGAGUCAUCCUCUAUGGAUAGUAUGCCUAAUAUGGAGACCAGCGAGACUGUUGGUCUGUGACGGAGUCCCAAACUCCGACGGCUGGGGACGACAUACUGUCUUAAGCUAUGAUUCGAGCACUGAAGAAGGUCGUAGGGACCAAUUUGGGAUCGGGAAACUGAGGGUCGGUUACUGAACGAAUCUGGUCGAAUAGGGCUGAAUUAUUCAGGGGCGUCAUUGGAGUCGCUCCUAUUGUUGCUGAAUAUUGGCUCGAGGCUACCGAGCAUAUUAUGAUAGAUUUUGACUAUACCACUACUCAGAAAUUGAGGGUGCUGUGUCCCUACUCCGGGACAAAGCUUAUUAGUGGUGGUUGACAGUUGAACAAUGUGCUCAGCCUGAACAGGUUAACUAAGAUUAUUUCAAGAACGCCUUCCAGCGUAAGUAUGUGGGGGUGAGUUAUGUUGAGGCUCGUCAACGCGAGUUUAUGAGCCUAGUUCAGGGUGACCAAUCUGUAACACCCCACACCCGUGCCUUACCCCGGACGGCAUACGAGGCAUUACUAAACUUUAACACAUAUACACGAUCAUUUUUGAGUCAUCAAGACUUGAUCAAGUUUAAAACUUUUCUAACCUUGUUUAAACUCCUUAAUGUGGGCCUACAAGGCCUCAUACUCUCAUUGGAAACCAUUUGAAACCAACUCGAGUCCUUAAAAUGACUUAAAAAAAUAACCCCUGAAAUAGGGCACAUGCCCGUGUGGAAGGGCAACACGCCCGUGUGGUCAUUAUAACAUUACCGUGCUGAUGGCCCGUAUGACACACACAACUUAAGCAUCUAGGAACACGCCCGUAUUCUAUACCCGUGUGAAUUAAAUUUUAAAUUCGAACCUACAGGGGUUUUCACAUGGCCUGACACAUACCCGUGUCCCUCACACGGCCAUGACACACCCAUGUCCUAGCCCGUGUCUAAAAACCUUGACAUUCUGUUUCUGACGUCAGCAUCUAAUAAAGGGCACACAGUUAAGGCACACGCUGUGGCUAGAGGCCGUGUCCUCUACACGGUUGAGACAUACGGCCGUAUCUCUGUCCGUGUGUUUACUACCAUGCAUACUGACUUGUAAAAUUUACGUGCAGGGGACACACGGCCAAGCAACACGCCUAUGGGGCUGACCGUGUGUCACAUACGGCCUAGGCACAUGCCUGUUUGUCUAUCUGUGUAGACAGUAUAAGGCUAUCUACGAAGCCCUUUGCCACCCUGAAACACAAUCUAACACAAAAAAACAUAACAAAGCCUAAUCUAACACCAAACAACAUAACAAAGCCUAACUUAGUAUGAUUUCUCAACCAAACAACCAUCGCUAAGGCCAAUACAAAUUUCAUAUAUCCAACCAUGCCAAUAAUUUCACAUUCAUGAAAGAAUAUCUUGCUUUUAUAUAUGAACUUUCAAUAUUAGCCAUUUUCCAUGGCCAUAUACAAAAUGAAUCAAAUGCUAAAGUAAGCCAACACAAUGGCCAAUUAACGCUGACACAAAACUUAAAGCCAAGAUCCUAUACAUGUCAUAAUCAAAAUAAAAUAUCUAACUAUACCAAGUGCUUCAAUAGAUAGUGUGUUCGAUGCCUCUAAUGUCCGUUGAUCCACGAGCUAAUUAGGCAGCAUUAUAAGAAAAUGGAAAGAAACGGGGUAAGCAUAAAGCUUAGUAAGUUGCAUGUAAUAAAUAUAACAACAACUUUACCAUUCAUCAUCAUGCUCAUACUACUAAAGUAGGCAUAAGCACAACUUACUCAUCAUUAUCCAAUACAAUUCACAUAGCUUACAUCGAGCUCACAUCUCAUACAUUUCAAAUAGGUACCUCUACCACUCAUAACAUGGUUAUACUUUUCUUGUUUAACUUAAACUAUAACUCUCACCGUUGAACCAUUUGGAAUGCUAUCGGAUAUUCACUACGCCUCAAACAUAGGGUAUAAUACCAAUGCCAUGUCUCAGACAUGGUAUUACACUGGCUCAUCCAUCAAGUUGAUGCCAUGUUCCAGACAUGGUCUUACACUAACUAUCAAAAUCGAGGCCGACGCCAUGUGUCAGACAUGGUCUUACACUAGCUCUCAUAUAUCCGUGCCGAUGUCAUAUCCCAGACAUGGUCUUACACUGACACCUCUAUAUGUGUCGAUGCCAUGUCCUAGAUAAGUCUUACACUAGCACACAAAUAACCCGAAUUUCAUGGCACGAAUAUCCGAUUUAGUUUCUAAGGUUCAAACAAGAAUUCUACUAUCUCAAUAUUCAUCAUAAAUAAUCAUUUCCACAACUAAGAAAUUCAUACUAUAUCAAUUCAAACAUAUAUAAUAACAAUGUAGUUGUAUUAUUUACAUACAACUUAUCUCGGUAUACAAAAGUAGGCGGCUAGUUUAAACUACUUCACUAUUUUAGUCUUCCCUCGGUCUAAGUCCGGAUUCUAUCUUUCUUGGUCUAAAAUGAUAAAAAUUCACUCAUUUAAUCACCAUUUCAAUAAAAACAUCAGCAAUAUAUAGUUUGGAAAAAUUGACCAUUUUGCCUUUAGACUUCACAAAAAUUACAAUUUUUCCCUUGGGCUCGCAAAUCAAUUUUUAUCGAAUUUCUUCAAAUCUUAACCUAGCUGAACAAUUUUCACUCUAACAGUGACCCAAAAUUCCCAUUAUUUCACAACAUUACUAUCCAUUUUACAAACUUUACAAAAUGGUCCUAUCAGGGUUUUCAUGAGAAGUUCUUUUACAAAAGUUGUUUACAACACAACUAAGAUUCAUUUUCUUUCAUAAAAAAAUCAAAAAACAUCAUAAAUCCUUUCAUGAAAAAUCCCUAGACUAUCAUCUAUUUUGCAAAAUAGUCCCCCUAUUAGCUAGCUCAUGCUACAAGGGUCCUAAAAGUACAAAAAUUAUCAAAAAUAAGCAUCUAAUCACUUACUUGCAAGAGGAUAACCUAGCUAAAAUUUUAAAGCUCCAAAACCUUUCCCUUUGCUAAAAAUUUCGGUGAUGGUGAAGAGGAUGAGAAGAUGAUAUCAUCUUCCUUUUAUUUUAUUUCAAUUUUAAUCAAUUUAGCUACCUACUCAUCUAAUAUUGACAAUUUGACCUCCCUUGUCUCCUAUGGUCGGUCAUGCCUCUCUAAAGGGUCUAUUUGCUCUUUAAAGACCUCUAAUUAUGAUUCUCUAGCUAUGUGGUACAUCUAUCAAGUAAAAUAGAACUUUCACCCCUUAUGUAAUUUAGUCCUUUUUCAAAAUUAAGCUCAUAAAUACUAAAAUUACCCCACUAAAUUUUUCAUGCACUAAUAUAAUCAUGCUAUAACACUAAAAUAAUAAUAAAAUAAUUUAUUUUACUUUGGAUUUGUGGUCUUGAAACCACUGUUCCGACUAAGCCCAAAAUCGGACUGUUACAUAACCUGUGGCUGAAUAUGAAGCUGGGUUUUUGUGACUGAAUAGGUAUGCACAGACUUUGAUAGCGUCUGACUACAACAAGUGUGUGAGGUUUGAGGAAAGGUUGAGAUAUGAUUUGAGGGUUCUGAUAGCUCCUCAGAAGGAGUGAGUUUUUGUGGUCCUAGUUGACAAAGCAAAGAUAGUAGAAGAAGUGAAGCGCAUUGAGCAUGAGCAGCUUGUUCGUGAGAAAUAUUGGAAUAAGGCUAAGAGAGAUUCAGGUCCAUCUGGUUUUGGACAGCGUCUUAAGAAGUGUGCGAGAUUUGAUAAACUCCCGAGGGUCGAGACUCCAGCUGUAGUGACUGGGAUUCAGUUGUACAGUGAUUGUGGGAAGCGCCAUCUGAGCGAGUGCUAGAGGAAGUUAGGAGCAUGCCUCCGUUAUGGUUCGAUAGGGCAUCAAGUUAGGGAUUGCCCCCGUCGACCUAAUUCAAUGACAGUUGUGACACAGGUUCCGGUUCCAAAUUCUGUUAAGCCUCGAAGAGAGGUUCAGCAACCAUUCAGAGAUCGUGGUAUUGAUAGGGGUGGUAAUGGAUCCGGAAGAAGAUAGAGAGCACCGAGUAGAGGUGCAUGUCAAGCUAAGGCUCAUUAGCCGACUCUAGUUUAUACAGCGAGACACUACGAGGAGAACGAUGAUGCUAAUGUCAUUACAUGUACCUUCUUUAUUCAUUCUAUUUUUUAUUACACUUUUAUUGAUAUUGGCUCUACUCAUUCGUACAUAGCUAGUGAUGUUUCUGUAAAUCUAGAUUUAACAGUUGAGAAUACUACUAGAGAGUUUUCUGUGAUUAGUCCUUUGGGUCAGUUAAUUCGAGUUGAUAGGGUAUACAGUUGGGUAACCCUAGAGCUCUAGGGUAUGGUAUUUCCAACUAAUUUAGUGGAAUUACCCUUCAAUGAGUUUGAUUUAAUUUUGGGAAUAGAUUGGCUCUUCGAGUAUCAAGUUAGUUUAGACUGUACAUCCAAGAGGGUUACUCUAAGAUCGAAUGAGAAUGAUGAGGUGGUCAUGGUUAGUGAGCGUCGAGAUUACCUUUCCAUUGUAAUCUCCGCUCUUGUAACAAAUAAGUUAGCUCGAAAAUGGUGCAAGGCAUACCUUGCUUACAUAUCCGAUUCUGUUCCCGUAAAACUUUCGGUGGGAGAUAUCCAUACCGCAAGGGAGUUCUCGGAUGGUUUUCCCGAGGAAUUUCCUAGAAUACCUCCAGACAGAGAGUUAGAGUUUGAAAUUGAUCUGUUACCAGGUACUACUCUGGUGUCUAUUGUGCUUUACCGCAUGGCACCGAAAAACUGACCGAGCUAAAAGUGUAGCUUCAAGAAAUCCUUGAUAGGGGAUUCAUUCGACUGAGUGUGUCUCCAUAGAGAGCACCAGUACUGCUUGUUAAGAAAAAAAGAUGGGUCAAUGAGAAUGUACAUAGAUUAUAGGCAGUUGAACAAGUUGACAAUCAAGAAUAAGUACCCAUUACCAAGGAUUGAUGAUCUCUUCGACUAGUUUCGAGAAGCAUCCAUCUUCUCUAAAAUCGAUCUAUGCUAUGGUUACCAUCAGCUCAAGGUCAAAGAGACUAAUGUGUACAAAACGACCUUCAGGACUCGUUACAGACAUACGACUUCCUAGUAAUGCCUUUCGGUUUAGCGAAUACCCUAGCGGUAUUUAUGGAUUUAAUAAAUUGGGUGUUCUAACCAUACUUGGAUCAAUUUGAAGUGGUUUUUAUUGAUGAUAUCCUGAUCUACUCCAAAAUUGAAACUGAGUAUGAUGACCAUUUUCGCAUUGUACUUCAGAGACUCUGAGAAAAACAGUUGCAUGCUAAGUUUAGUAAGUGCGAGUUUGGUUGUAGGAAGUUAAUUUUCUGGGUUAUGUAGUGACAUUGGAGGGGGUCUGAGUCGAUCCCAAGAAGAUAUAAGUUAUUGUUGAGUGGAAACAACUGAAAAAUAUAUCUGAGCUUUGUAGCUUCUUAGGUUUGGCUGGUUACUACCGAAGGUUCGUCGAAGGAUUUUCUCUGAUUGCGUCAACUCUGAUGAAACUACUAUGUAUGAAUGCUCUAUUUGUGUGGUCUGAGACACAACAUGCGAGUUUCGAUAAGUUUAAGUUCGUUCUAACAUAGGCUCUUGUUUGAGUUCAACCAGAAUCGAGUUGGGAGUUUGUGGUAUACAAUGAUACUUCACAUAUCAGGUUUGGGUGUGUGCUUAUGCAAGACGAUAAGGUGGUCACUUAUGCAUCGCGACAGCAUAAGACAUAUGAAGGUAACUACCCUACAUACGAUCUUGAGUUAGCUACGGUUGUGUUUACUCUGAAAAUCUAGAGACACUAUUUGUAUGGUGAAAGGUGUAUUAGGUACAUCGAUCAUAAGAGUCUCAAAUAUUUAUUAACCUAAAAAGAGUUAAAUCUUCGGCAGCACCGAUGGGUUGAGUUACUUAAAUAUUAUGAUUGCACGAUAGAAUACCAUCCAGGUAAGGCCAAUGUAGUAACUGAUGCCCUUAGCCGUAGAGGGAUGACUGAUCUUAAAGUGAUGUUAACUCGUCUGAGUUUGGUUGAAGAUGGAGGUUUGUUGGCUGAAUUACAAGUAAAGUCAAUUUAGGUGCAGUAAAUUAGAGCUAAACAGUUGAGCUACGAGUCAUUAGGUUAGAUAUUACAACAUGUUGGUUCAAACGGGACUUUCGAUUUUAGCCUAAAUAGCGAUAAUAUGCUAUGCUUCAAAGGUCAGAGUUGUGUACCCAAUGGCAAGGAGUUAAGGUAUUCGAUCCUACAAAAGGCACAUAAUGGUCCCUAUGUUAUGCAUCCUAAUAGGAAUAAAAUGUACUGGGUCUGAGAGCUCUAUUAGUGGCCUGGAUUGAAACGAGAGAUAGUCACUUUUGUGUCCCACUGUUUAACGUGUCAAAAAGUUAAGGCGGAACAUCAGUUUCCAUCUGAAUUUCUUUAACCAGUUAAAAUUCCUCAGUGGAAGUGGGAGCAGAUAAUGAUGGAUUUCGUUAUGGGGUUGCCUUUAACCUCUACUAAGAAAGAUUUGAUUUGGGUCAUCGUUGAUCGAUUGACCAAAUCAGCUUACUUCAUUCCUAUUCGAAUAGAUUACUCCUUACAGAAGUUAGCUAAACUACAUAUUGCAGAAAUUGUGAGACUACACGAAAUUUCAGUUUCGAUCAUCUUUGACAGAGAUCCGCAAUUUAUGUCUCGGUUCUAGAAGAAACUCUAUGAGGCCUUAGGCACCUGACUUAAUUUCAGCACUGCGUAUCACCCCCAGACUGAUAGACAAUCGGAGUAAGUUAUUCAGAUACUAAAUGAUAUGCUUCAGGGCUGUGUGAUAGACUGUAGGGGUAGAUGGGAGGAAUACCUACCGUUGGUGGAGUUUGCAUACAAUAACAGCUUUCAUUCUAGUAUCCAGAUGGUACCCUAAGAGGCCUUAUAUGGAUGUAAGUGUCGUACUCUGUUAUGUUAGACUGAAUUAAGUGAACUCCGGAUAUUGGGUCCUGAGUUGGUUUCUGAAACUUAGAGCACUGUGAAAGUGAUUCGUGAUUGCCUAAAAGUAGCCUCUGACUAUCAGAAGUCUUAUGCGGAUUUAAAAAGAAAGAAUAUUGAGUUUUCGGUAUGUGAUCAAGUGUUUCUAAAUGUGUCACCUUGGAAAAAGGUUCUCUACUUUAGACGCAAGGGUAAGCUGAACUCGAGGUUCAUUGGACCUUACCGUAUUCUGAAGCGUGUCGAACCUGUUGCGUAUCAGUUAGAAUUACCGUCAGAAUUAGAAUGAAUCUACGAUGUGUUUCAUGUCUCGAUGUUGAGAUGGUAUCGGUCGGAUCUGUCACAUAUUGUUACUGUCGAUGAGAUCAAAUUGCGACCUGAUUUAAUGUUCAAAGAGGAACUUAUCCAGAUCUUAGAACGUGACAUUAAGAUGCUUAUGGGAAAAACUAUUCCUCUAGUGAAAGUUCUUUGGCAGAACCACGGUACUGAGAAAGCCAUGUGGGAAUCGGAAGAAUCAAUUCGACAGCUGUAUCUGUAUCUGUAUUUGUAUCUGUAUCUGUUUGACUCAGGUAAAAUUUCGAGGUCGAAAUUUCUUUUAAGGAGAGAGAGUUAUAAAGCCCUAAAAUUUUAAGAAUUUAAUUGUGAGACUCUACAGUAAUUAGAUUUCUGUAUAUCUAGUUCUGUGCUAUAUUUUUGUGUUUAAGGUCUCGGGUUCGAGUUGUAUCAUUAAAAUUUUUAUUCUUUUAGAACAAUCAUUGUCUAUGCGGUAUAUGGGUAAAUGUAGUUCUGUAAGAACCUAUGACAAGAAUAAGCCUACUGGUUUACUGGUUAAGCAUUUAUUUGUAUUUUAUCUAGUUUUGAGUUCGAAUCCCACUAUAUGUGUUAAGAGAAUUUUUGCUAGUUGUUGGAGGUACGUUGGUGGUUAAGACAAAAUUUAUUAAAAUUUGGUUAACAUCUGUAUCUUUUUCUUCUUCUUUUUUGUUUUUAUUUUUUUCCUUUUCUUUUUUUGUUUUACUUCUUUGAUUUCUUCUCAUCGAGUGUGUUUAACAUGUGAUUAUCGAAAAUUAAUGAGAUUUUUACAUCAUUGAAAGACUUCUGUAUAAGUUCUAUCAGAAUUCUUAGACUUCUGCGAGGUUUGGUUAGAUUUCUAUUACGGUGUUAAGUUAGGAAUUAUCGAAUUGCUUUACUUAAACUCUCUGUUAACUAGCUGUUUUGUUCCCUUAGGUGUGAGUACAGAGGGAGGCAACCCUUCGCGUGUUGUACCGACUUAGCAUGGUAGAAUUAUUGAUAAGCAUUAGUUGUUGAAGUUCCCUAGUGUCGAUUUAUUUGACAUAAUCUGUGUAUUAAUGUUAUGUUAAUUAGUCGUUUAGACAAAUGAUUGACUGUUGAAUGGUUAAUUAGGUUUUGGGUAAUCUCCGUAUUGUUUUCGUCAAAGUGAAACCAGGUGCGUAUCGAAAACUUUAGUUUUUGUAAGUUUCGAUCGCCGAAAAAUGGUAGCUGUCGAUGCCAUAGGGCCAGGCGCACGGCUAUGUCAUAUGGUCGUGUGACAGGCCGUGCGGUAGGCUGUGUAACUCACUGUUCGUCGAUUUGGGGCCACACGGGCAAAAGACAUGGGCUUGUAUCUAGGUCGUGUGUGGCCAUACUAGUGCAGGGUUCACACGGGCAAUGGACACAGGUGUGUGUCGAGGUUGUGUAACUUAUUGUUUAUGGUACAAAACUGUACGGGCAAGGUACACAGGCUUGUGUAACUCACUAUUUGUAGUAUAAAACUAUACGGUCGAGGACACGGAUGUGUACCCAUGCCGUGUGAGUCACACGGGUAGGGAUACGGAUGUGUAUCCAGGCAUUGUACCUCAUAGUUUAUGUUUUAGAGCCACACGAGUAAGGCACAUGGGCGUGUGAUCGGGCCAUGGAGCAUGUUAUUGUGGCUCGAAACCUAUUUUCAAGGCCGAAAAUGUUUCUUAACACUGAUACUGGUAUCAUUCAAUGUAUGAAUUAUUGAAUUUGAUCAUAUAAGAACUAUCUGAUACUCUAAAAUUGAUUUGUGAGUAACUUAAUUAUACGAAAACUAUAAUGCUUAUUCUGAUGUUGAAUAGUCUUAUUUGAUUGGGAAAUGAGUUAGAAUGAUUGAAUACGUGAUACGGGUAUUUAUGUUCUGCAUCGGCAUGGGUGGGGGUAUUGUGAAAGAGGAAGAAAUAUGUUCUGAAAUCAUGGCUACGCCACAAUGAGCAUAAAUCUAAUUCUGGCGCUUGUCGCAUACUGAACUAGCAGCUAAGCUGCAUUUCUGUAAAAGUGUCAAUAAACACUUUAAGGUGUGUAGGCUUGGUUGGGCAUUGAAUGUCCUUAAUGGUGUGUUGGGAUAGUCGAAGACGGUGUAUAGAGGACGGGGAUAGGAAUAUUGCAUCUGAAUCUGAUCUAUAUCGUGUAUGAACUAAAAUUGCACAUAUCUGCUCUGAAUCUGAACUGAAAUUUCUCCUGUAUCGAACCGAAUCUUUGAAUUUAGAACUACUUUAUAAAUGUGGAUUAAUUGAAUAAAUUUCUUUUACGCACUGAGUUCACAACUCAUUCUGUUAUUGUUUGGAUUUUAGGUAGUUUGCAACUUGAACGGGUCGGAGCCAUGGGAGCUUGGUCGAAUUAUUAGCUUUCUUAAAAUGUUUCAAUAGGAGUUUUGUAACUAUAAUAGUAUGACUUUGGAAGAUUAUAUACUCAACUAAUCUUGCGUUAAAUUUUAUGUGAAUCAUGGUUUAUUAUUAUUAUGCCUUGCGUAAUUUUUAAGUAUUCAUAAUGUAAGGUUCUAAGCUUGGGCUGGACUUCUAAGCUGGGGUUUUAUACCUAGCAGACUUUAUGCUGGUGUAAUUAUAACAGGCCUUGAGCCUAACAGGCUUUGAGCCGAUGUAACCGUAUCAGGUAACUUGUGUGGAAGAUACUAUUUCAAGUAACCGACGAAUUUAAGAACAUUUUACAACCUUAUACUCUUAUAUAUGGUGUAUUAGUUCAUGAAUUGGUGAUUAUAAAUGAUGUAGAUUUUAUAGAUUAAAUUAUCUUGGUUGUUUGAGAUAGGGAAUCAUCAUAUGUUGUUACAUUAAUAUACUUAAAUUUACGAGUAUAACAAGUUAACUUCAAGAACUUACUAACCAUUACUCGAGCUUACUUCGUUUGAUUUAAUUUUGUAGGUCCAUUGGAAUUUUGACGUCGAUUGGAUCUGCUCAAAAGAUCUCACCCUAUCCACUAUAUUUCUAGUAAUCAUUUUGUUCAUUUUGGGUUUAGUUUGAAGUGACAUGUAAAUAGGGUAUCUAGAUGUAUAUAUUUUAAACUCUAGUUAAUAAACAACUUUUGUUGGAUUAGUAACUUGUAUAUGUUAUUUUGGUACUUGUUGGAUGUGGUUGGUGUCUUACAAUGGUUAUAUAUGGUUAUCAUUAAGUAUCAUAAUGAGAUGGAAAUGGUUAUUAUAAGUAAUAUGGUAUUGGUUGGUAGAAUAGAUGUAAAGAAGUUGGUAUGUUUAAGCUAGCAUAAUGUAUGUGAUCAUGGUAGUUGUUAUGUUUUGAAUUGACAUUUAAAUUAUUGUGCCAAUGAAGAUAUAUUGGUUAGGCACAUAGGUUGUUGUGAUUUGGCAUGAUUUGGUUAUUUUGGGAUGUUCUUGAAUGUGUUUAAAUAAGGUGAAAGUGUCUUGAAUGGAUUUGGAUUGGUGCCAAGUAAUUGAGUUGAAAUGGCUUGUUUUAGGGGUUAUUUAAGAAGCAUGUGGCCUGGUCACACGGCUGUGUGUCACAUAUGGUCAUGUGUACCUUUAAUUUUUAAGUGCAAGUUUCAUACUGUCUGCGACACGACUGUGUGCCUCAAGUUAGUUUGUUGCACGACCUACGACAUGGACUGUGAAUCGACAUCGAAUGUACACACGGCUUGGCAUAUAGGUUGGGAUAUGAUCAUGUGUCCAGACUUCGAAUGCACACACGGUCUUGGUUAUGUCACACAAUUUGGGCUAUGUCACACGGCCUUGUGACCCUUGUUUGUGAAAAUUUCAAGUUUUUCUUCAAUUUUCUGUUUUGUUUCGAAAUGACCCCUAAAUGUUUUCAAACUAUUUUUAAGGCCUCAUAAACUCAAUUUAAGGCCUGUGAAUGUGUUUUUUUUCUAUAAUUAACUUAUGUUAUUGAAAGUUAUUAAUUAAAUGGUAUAAUUGUUUCUAGUGUAAGAUAAAUGUUCCAAUUUGUAUCAUAAUGUUCUGUAACCCUAAUCCUGCGGCGGAGAUAGCUUAGGGGUGUUUCAUUCUUCAUGGUCUUCCCUUAAAUUAUUUUAUUUAUAAUAUUAUUAUUUUACUUAUAAAAUUAUUAUUUUAAUAAAUAAAUUUCAUGUUAGAAAAAUGGAAAAAAAUGGAUAUUCAUUUAUUUAUAAAUAUUAUUUUAAUUUUUAUGUAUUUUUAUUGAAAAAUAUUUUUUUGAUAUAUUUUUCAUUUUUUUAAAGUUUUUUGAUUUUUUUAAAUUUUAAGAAUUAAGACUAAAUUAACACAAUUUGUAAAGUUAAGGGUUAAAAUUAUUGUAUUUUUAAAAUUAGGAUCAAAUUGUAGAAUCUGUAAACAUUGGAGGGUUAAAUUUACAAUCAUAUCAAUAAUAAAGAGCUUCCAAUAAAGAUUUAAAGAAUGAGUGAUAAAAAUAUUAAAAUUAAAUAACGAUAGUGACUAAAAUAGAAAAUUUUAAACUUGAAUGACCAAAACAAAAAUAAAAUGAUAAUUGGAUGACUAUUUUUAUGGUUUACCGGUUAGGAAAAACUUGCCUUGGAUUAAUUGUACCUCGUGCUGCUAGAGCUUGUGCUUCUUACAUUUAAGUAUUUAUUAAUUUAUUUGUAUAUAAAAUGAGUUGGUGGGAUUGAAAAUUGCAAGCAAUGUUUGAUUUGAUGCGGCUUAUGACCUCUUAGGUAGUUAGGUUCCGGUUUGUACCCAAUAUAUUAUUUAUAUAUAUAUAUAAAUACAACAUUAAGGAUUGAGCUCCCUAGAAAAUCUUAAAAAUUUCAAUUUAAUUAUUCAUCUAUUUUACUUUUUAAAUUUAAUUAAUUUUAAAAAUAUAAAAUGAUUAAAAUACAUAAAAAUUUUUUAUAUUAAAAUUUGUUAAUUUAUAAAAAUAUUUUUUUAAUAUUUUCUGAUUAAAAUAAUAUUCUAUUAAUUUAUAAUCCCAACUCAAAAAAUAAAUUUGUUUAAUGCAAAAACUAUAUCACUUACAUUAACGCAAAGUUUCGUUGUGUUUUAGUAUACUUUUUAAUGUAAAUUUCAUCGUAUUUUAUUUAGCAAAUAAUUCUAUUUAAUGAAAAUGUUUUAAUACAAAAAGAUUUAUUAUAUAUAUAUAUGAGAAUCACACUUUUAACACUAAUGUUACAUUUAGUAGACAUGUUUUAGUAUAUGAGUUAGUAAUAAACUAAUUCAAUCAGUAAUAUUUAAUUACUCUCAUGAUUUAUUGCUAGCAAAUAGAAGGAAAAUUUUUUUGUUUAUUUUGAAGAGGUCUUAGUUUUUACAAGAAUUUUGACUAAUCUUUCUAAUUUCAAGUUUAAAUUUGUACUAACUAUUUUCUAUUUUAUGUUUAGCUAUUGUGAUACAUAAGUGAUAAAGAAGAAUUAUAUACUCUACCAUUAGACAUAUUUUUUGGCUUUUUUAUUUGCAUAACGAACAAAUCUUAAUACUUUACUAUAGCAAGAUUUUAAAAAUAUAAUAAGCAAUCACAUUGGCUUUAUUAAUUCGAAAGAUUAUUUAAAAAAAUUAUCAACAUAUGUGGAUUUGAGCAAUAUUAUUGGAUAUAAGUAUGUAUUUCUGCAGUGAUCCAAUAAUCAUAUAUAGGAAAACUUUCCUAAUAGUUAGGUUGACUACAUGGGAUGUAGUUGGAUUAACCAGUAACUGGUCUUUAGGUUGACCAAUAGUGGGAAACAUUUUACUUGUGCAGCGAGGGGAGGGAGAUUUAUUGGUGGCAUUGCUAGGAAUGGCCAAGUUCACACUAGCAGCCAUCCUGGUUUAGUUACAUUUACAACACGGACAUCUUUGAAGCAUUUUUGUUCUGUAGUGUGCUUUGAGUUCCCUAUUUACUACGUUAGAUUGCUAACUUCAUUAAAAGUACUCUGUUUCUGUGAUGAUGUUUUUGUUUGCUUAUAUGCACCCUGGUUUAGUAAUUUGUUUUAACUCCAUUCAUUGCUUCUCUGGUCCUGGAACUCAAAAAUUCAUAGAAUGAUCUACUUCCUUCAGUGCUUGAAUAUCAAAAGUAACAUUCGGAAACUUUUUUGUUCUGUUGGUAGACUACCUUCCACCACCAAAUUAAUGGGGGGCAGCUGAAGAAAGGAUAUGCUGGUGGAAUAUGCCGAAGUACCUUCAUGUCCAUAUCAAACAUGUUGCACAACAACAGCACAAUAAACUGAGAUUUUAUUUAUUUGUUUUGAGAUGAAAAGAUAAUGAAAAAUGAGUACACUAAAAAACUUUUUUUAAGUAAAAGGACAAUGAGGAUAAGGUGGCACUCUAAGGCAGGAUCUCGAACAACCACAAACUUAUCAAGAACUCAAGACCUUGCCUUCUUCCCUAGUGGAUCCCAUCAACAAUUCUUGGCUUCAUGUAUAGCCUUUUUCGAAUGGCUAUAAACCAUUUCUCAAUCCCAUCCAGUUUAAUGAAAUGAAAUCUUCUCCUGGCUGGAUUCUAACCACCAAUUUCAAACAAAGGAUAGAAGUAAUGCAUUUAUGUAGAAUCAAGCUGGUUAUUUGGAAAACCAACAUUAUACAAACUGGUCUUACAUCUUAGGCCAAGCAUAUUUGAUCAAAAUAAUGGCUAGAUUACACUAGUAGACAACUCUGUUUCAAAACAUAAGAAAAAAAAAAGGGCAAGCUAACUUGAAGCAACAAGUAUCGCAAAACUCUGGGAAAAAGUCCGAGAGGAAAUUACAAAUUGAUGAUCAUACACAAACUCUACCCUCCCUUUCUCUCUAUGUUUUGCUUUUUGAUGAAUCACAGGCAACAUAAAAUAUAAGUGGAUUCUGAUUCUUAUUAAAAACAAACGAGACUGUCACAAAUGGAAUGGUCUCUCUUCAGUGUAACCUCCAACCCAGAACCACAAAUUUCUCCCGACACUUCUAAGCAAGCUUAGCAAAGUUCUUUUGCUGCUGCAACAACAGCCUCGGGAGUCAAGCUAAACUCCUUGUAUAUUUUGCCUGCUGGUGCACUUGCCCCGAACCGGUCAAUUCCAAUAGCCUUCCCCUUGGAUCCAACAAUCUUCGCCCACCCAAAUGUUGAUCCAGCCUCAAUACUCACCCUAGCUGAUACAGCAGAUGGUAAAACGCUUUCCUUGUAGGCAUCUGAUUGCUCAUCAAAGAGCUCCCAAGAAACAAAGGAGACAACCCUAACGGUCUUGCCUGCCUUCCUUAGUUCAUCGGCAGCUUUAGCGGCAAUCUCCAACUCAGAACCAGUUCCAAUCAGAAUUACAUUGGGAUUGUUGCCAGAAGAAUUGUCUGAAAUAAUGUAGCCACCUUUUUCAACUCCCUCAAUGGAAGUUCCAGGAAGUUGGGGCAGCUUUUGCCUAGAGAGGGCAAGAAUAGAAGGUCUCUUCCUGUUCAGAACAGCAACCUUAUAUGCACCAGCUGUUUCAUUUCCAUCAGCUGGACGAAGCAUCAAAACAUUAGGCAUUGCACGGAAGCUUGCCAAGUGUUCAAUUGGCUGGUGGGUUGGUCCAUCUUCCCCAAGACCAAUGGAAUCAUGGGUCAUAACAUAGAUAACUCCUGCUUCACACAAGGCAGAAAUCCUAAUGGCAGCUCUCAUGUAGUCAGUGAAGACAAAGAAUGUAGCACAGUACGGAAUGAAGCCCGGGCUGUGAAGGGCAAUGCCAUUGCAGAUGGCUCCCAUUCCAUGUUCCCUAACACCAAACCUAACAUUGCGCUCCUCAGGGGUGUCCUUCUGGAAAUCACCAUACAUUUUGAGCAAGGUCAUGUUGGAAGAAGCAAGGUCAGCACUUCCACCAAGAAGGCCAGGGUGUACUUUUACAAGGGCAUUGAGAUUUUGUUGAGAGAGAUUUCUGGUAGCAUCAGCUGGGCUCUCUGGAGUGUAUGUCUGGAAAGUGCACAAAAAACAGGGCUCAAAAUAUAGACUUACAUUCCACUUUAAUCAGACUGUAUUAGUCCCAUGAAAGAGAACAACUAAGAAUUAAGGUGUCAAAACAUAUUUAGCAAGGACAAUAAAGGUUGCUCACUGG
rnacentral:lncRNA from 1 species